UACGUAGGGCGCAAGCGUUGUCCGGAAUUAUUGGGCGUAAAGAGCUCGUAGGUGGCGUGUCGCGUCUGCCGUGAAAGCCCAUGGCUUAACUUGUGGGUCUGCGGUGGAUACGGGCAGGCUGGAGGCUGGUAGGGGCAAGCGGAAUUCCUGGUGUAGCGGUGAAAUGCGCAGAUAUCAGGAGGAACACCGGUGGCGAAGGCGGCUUGCUGGGCCAGUUCUGACGCUGGAGGAGCGAAAGCGUGGGGAGCGAACAGG
rnacentral:rRNA from 1 species